rnacentral:rRNA from 1 species
AUCAGGGGUAAACCUGUGGAACUCGAACGAUCGAACGGGGAGACUCAUCGCUCUUCUGCGGGUCCCUAUGCGUAGUGCGGUGUGAAUGCGCUUGCGUAUUCGCGUCGCGCUGCGUGUCGUGAGACUCGCGGAGUGCGUGCACUUCUCCCUUAGUAUAACACCGCGACCCGUUGAGCAGCCGGUCGAACGCGCCGUGCGGUUGUCCCGACUUCCCGUGCAAACGGGGGCCGGAGCCGCGGCGUCGCGACCGGCUUUCGACGGUAACGAACGAGGUUUGCGUCCGCCUUUUAGGCGUCCGCGGCAUUGCGGUGUCGUCCCCCGUCGGGUCCUCUGCGCUACGCGUAGCAGGUAUCCGGUGCGGUCGGCGGAAGCGGCUCUUUGUCGUUUUCGUCGCGGACGGCACGCAGUCGUGUCGCUCGGACGGGACGCGUCCCGGUCUGCGGUGGUUUUGUUUCGGGCACUCACAGGACCC